CGGCGGCGGCAGCUACACAUGCAGUCGAGCGGUAACAGAAAGUAGCUUGCUACUUUGCUGACGAGCGGCGGACGGGUGAGUAAUGCUUGGGAACAUGCCUUGAGGUGGGGGACAACAGUUGGAAACGACUGCUAAUACCGCAUAACGUCUACGGACCAAAGGGGGCUUCGGCUCUCGCCUUUAGAUUGGCCCAAGUGGGAUUAGCUAGUUGGUGAGGUAAUGGCUCACCAAGGCGACGAUCCCUAGCUGGUUUGAGAGGAUGAUCAGCCACACUGGGACUGAGACACGGCCCAGACUCCUACGGGAGGCAGCAGUGGGGAAUAUUGCACAAUGGGCGCAAGCCUGAUGCAGCCAUGCCGCGUGUGUGAAGAAGGCCUUCGGGUUGUAAAGCACUUUCAGUCAGGAGGAAAGGUUAGUAGUUAAUACCUGCUAGCUGUGACGUUACUGACAAAAGAAGCACCGGCUAACUCCGUGCCAGCAGCCGCGGUAAUACGGAGGGUGCGAGCGUUAAUCGGAAUUACUGGGCGUAAAGCGUACGCAGGCGGUUUGUUAAGCGAGAUGUGAAAGCCCCGGGCUCAACCUGGGAACUGCAUUUCGAACUGGCAAACUAGAGUGUGAUAGAGGGUGGUAGAAUUUCAGGUGUAGCGGUGAAAUGCGUAGAGAUCUGAAGGAAUACCGAUGGCGAAGGCAGCCACCUGGGUCAACACUGACGCUCAUGUACGAAAGCGUGGGGAGCAAACGGGAUUAGAUACGCCGGUAGUCCACGCCGUAAACGAUGUCUACUAGAAGCUCGGAGCCUCGGCUCUGUUUUUCAAGCUAACGCAUUAAGUACACCGCCUGGGGAGUACGGACGCGAGGUUAAAACUCAAAUGAAUUGGCGUUGGCCUGCACAAACGAUGGAGCAUGGUGGUUUAAUUCCAUGCAACGCGAAGAACCUAACCUACCCUUCACCAUACAGAAACCUUACUAGAGGUGGUAUGGUGGCUUCGGGGAACUUCUGAUACAGAUGCAGCAUGGCUGUCGAUGAGGCUCCAUAAUAUACCAUGCUCCGCUAAAGUACGGUAAUGAGCGCAACACCGAUCCCUUACUCACUACCCAGGUGGGGCUGAGAAUGUCUAGGAACUGCCCUGAUGAGAAACCUCAUGCACGUGCGCGACGACAGAGAGAGAGAGAUCUGGCUGACGUAGGGCGGUGGGUAGGUCCACACAUCCAUAGGAUCUGGCACGUGGCCAGUGUAGCACAUAACCUACGAUAUACGUAUA
rnacentral:rRNA from 1 species